AAUGAACGUUGGCGGCGUGGAUUAGGCAUGCAAGUCGAGCGCGAAACGUAGCAAUACGUGGAAAGCGGCGAAAGGGAGAGUAAUACAUAGGUACGUACCCUUGGACCUGGGAUAGCGGCGGGAAACUGCCGGUAAUACCAGAUAAUGUCUCCGGACCAAAGGUGUGAUUCCGUCUGAGGAGCGGCCUAUGUCCUAUUAGCUAGUCGGUAAGGUAACGGCUUACCAAGGCAAAGAUGGGUAUGGGGUGUGAGAGCAUGCCCCCACUCACUGGGACUGAGGCACUGCCCAGACACCUACGGGUGGCUGCAGUCGAGAAUCUUCGGCAAUGGACGCAAGUCUGACCGAGCGACACCGCGUGCGGGAUGAAGGCCUUCGGGUUGUAAACCGCUGUCGUAGGGGAGGAAAUGCAGGUGGGUACUCCCAUCUGCUUGACUGAUCCUAGGAGGAAGGACCGGCUAAUCUCGUGCCAGCCGCCGCGGUAA
rnacentral:rRNA from 1 species